UACAGAGGGUGCGAGCGUUAAUCGGAAUUACUGGGCGUAAAGCGCGCGUAGGCGGCUUUGCAAGUCGGGUGUGAAAUCCCCAGGCUUAACCUGGGAACUGCGCUUGUAACUGGCAAGCUAGAGUGUGGCAGAGGGGGGUGGAAUUCCACGUGUAGCAGUGAAAUGCGUAGAGAUGUGGAGGAACACCGAUGGCGAAGGCAGCCCCCUGGGCUAACACUGACGCUCAUGCACGAAAGCGUGGGGAGCAAACAGG
rnacentral:rRNA from 1 species